AGUGGGGAAUAUUGGACAAUGGGCGAAAGCCUGAUCCAGCAAUGCCGCGUGAGUGAUGAAGGCCUUAGGGUUGUAAAGCUCUUUUACCCGGGAUGAUAAUGACAGUACCGGGAGAAUAAGCUCCGGCUAACUCCGUGCCAGCAGCCGCGGUAAUACGGAGGGAGCUAGCGUUGUUCGGAAUUACUGGGCGUAAAGCGCGCGUAGGCGGCUUUGUAAGUUAGAGGUGAAAGCCCGGGGCUCAACCCCGGAACUGCCUUUAAGACUGCAUCGCUUGAAUCCAGGAGAGGUGAGUGGAAUUCCGAGUGUAGAGGUGAAAUUCGUAGAUAUUCGGAAGAACACCAGUGGCGAAGGCGGCUCACUGGACUGGUAUUGACGCUGAGGUGCGAAAGCGUGGGGAGCAAA
rnacentral:rRNA from 1 species